ACGAACGCUGGCGGCGUGCCUAAUCCAUGCAAGUAGAACGCUGAAGAGAGGAGCUUGCUCUUCUUGGAUGAGUUGCGAACGGGUGAGUAACGCGUAGGUAACCUGCCUUGUAGCGGGGGAUAACUAUUGGAAACGAUAGCUAAUACCGCAUAACAAUGGAUGACACAUGUCAUUUAUUUGAAAGGGGCAAUUGCUCCACUACAAGAUGGACCUGCGUUGUAUUAGCUAGGAGGUGAGGUAAUGGCUCACCUAGGCGACGAUACAUAGCCGACCUGAGAGGGUGAUCGGCCACACUGGGACUGAGACACGGCCCAGACUCCUACGGGAGGCAGCAGUAGGGAAUCUUCGGCAAUGGGGGCAACCCUGACCGAGCAACGCCGCGUGAGUGAAGAAGGUUUUCGGAUCGUAAAGCUCUGUUGUAAGUCAAGAACGGGUGUGAGAGUGGAAAGUUCACACUGUGACGGUAGCUUACCAGAAAGGGACGGCUAACUACGUG
rnacentral:rRNA from 1 species